CAUUGUAUUUGUUUAUUGGGGGUGUCUAGGGUUUUUAAUUAAAGGUUCUGCUGAGAGGUUAAUGAGAGUUGAGAAGCGAGAGAGAUUGAGAUUGAGAUUGAGAUUGAGAUUGAGAGUUGAGAUGCGAGAGAGAUCCAAAGGUUUCCUGGAGCGUCCACUGCUGGCAUCGCGCUUGCUGCCAUCGAUUGUCGCUGCUCGUUCGUCUUCCCCGUCUGCAGUGGCAUUGGGCAGCUACUUGGUUGAUUCUUUUGUUUAGCUACUGCUGGAGUUCUUUUGAGUUGUGGUUAUACAACUUUAUAAUUGUUGUAGUUGCAUGCCCUGCUUCAUCUGAUCAUGCUCUCAAUUACCUUAAUGAAGUGCAACAGGUAGGAAGUUUAAUUUCUUGUUCCAGUAACACUCUUCUGCUCUGUUUGGUCGAAUUAUUUGCAUCAUGAAUUGCAGAAUGUAGGUUUGAAAGAGUGUCUUAUGGUGGUAUCUACAUGUCUAGUAGGAUAAGAAAUACUACCUAUUUGUGUUAUGGUGGUAUGUAUAGAUAGGUGGACAAUAAAAAAGACUCCCUCCAUGUCAAUUUGUUUAUCUUGCUUAGAUAUGUUUCAAAAGAAUGCCUUUCUUUAUUCAGUCACUCUUUACACCCAAUAUCGUACACGGUAUAUUUAAGACCACGAAAUUCAAAAGGAAUUUUAGUGCAUUACACAUAUUUAGUUCAUCACCACAAGAUUCAAAAAUAUUCUUUAUUUUCUC